CCGCCUCCACCCCACGCUUCUCGUACUUUAUGCCACAGGUACCUUGUCUCUCAGCCGAGGUCGCCUCAGGAUUCCGGUCUCCGGGAGCGGAGGCGUGGGGCUGCACAUGCGCACUACGAGUCCUCGCCUACUCCCAGAAACCACCGGGGCUCACAGGCGGUGCGGCCAGUGCUUCAGGUUGGCGCGCUCCAGAGAGACCUGAGUGGGCAGCGUCGCCGUUUCUCCUUUCUUGGACAGUAUUUUCCCAGCUCCACGUCAUAAUGGCACAUUGUGAGGCUUGUGUGCGUGGGGGCCGGGCGGCCCGUCUCAAAGGCGCUCCGGGCAGGAGCGGCCAGCUGGAUGGCUGGAGGCCCAGGGAUCAGUGCAGGUCAGAUCCGGUGCCGCGGCCUGAGUUUGGAGGUGGCGGGUGCGGCUCUGCAUUUCCAGGACCCUGUCGCUGAUCAGAACGCUGCUCCAGCACAGUGCGCAUUAGCUAUGUCUCAGAAGAUGUAGUCAUAGAAAAGAUACUGGCAUCUGGACACAGUGACACACACCUGUAGUCCCAGCAACCUGGGAAGCCGAGGCAGGAGGAUCACUUCAGCUCAGCACUUCAUCAUAAUAGUACAUCACGAUCACACAUGUGAAUAGCCACUGCAUUCCAGCCUGGACAACAUAGCAAGA